GACGAACGCUGGCGGCGUGCCUAAUACAUGCAAGUAGAACGCUGAAGGAGGAGCUUGCUUCUCUGGAUGAGUUGCGAACGGGUGAGUAACGCGUAGGUAACCUGCCUGGUAGCGGGGGAUAACUAUUGGAAACGAUAGCUAAUACCGCAUAAGAGUAGAUGUUGCAUGACAUUUGCUUAAAAGGUGCAAUUGCAUCACUACCAGAUGGACCUGCGUUGUAUUAGCUAGUUGGUGGGGUAACGGCUUACCAAGGCGACGAUACAUAGCCGACCUGAGAGGGUGAUCGGCCACACUGGGACUGAGACACGGCCCAGACUCCUACGGGAGGCAGCAGUAGGGAAUCUUCGGCAAUGGACGGAAGUCUGACCGAGCAACGCCGCGUGAGUGAAGAAGGGUUUCGGAUCGUAAAGCUCUGUUGUAAGAGAAGAACGAGUGUGAGAGUGGAAAGUUCGCACUGUGACGGUAUCUUACCAGAAAGGGACGGCUAACUACGUG
rnacentral:rRNA from 1 species